AUGACUAUAUGAUGUAUGGAUUAUGUGACUGUUUACGCUAUGAAAAGUUAUGGAUGAUGUUGACUGAUAACGCUAUGAAAAGUUAUGGAUGAUGUUGACUGUUGAUUGCUUAUGCUAUGAAAAGAUGGUUG